UACAGAGGUCUCAAGCGUUGUUCGGAUUCAUUGGGCGUAAAGGGUGCGUAGGCGGCGCGGUAAGUCGGGUGUGAAAUCUCGGGGCUUAACUCCGAAACUGCAUUCGAUACUGCCGUGACUUGAGGACUGGAGAGGAGACUGGAAUUUACGGUGUAGCGGUGAAAUGCGUAGAUAUCGUAAGGAAGACCAGUGGCGAAGGCGGGUCUCUGGACAGUUCCUGACGCUGAGGCACGAAGGUCCAGGGGAGCAAACGGG
rnacentral:rRNA from 1 species